GACAGUGAUGUAACAAGGCCAGGCUCGCGCCGCGUCCCCUCUUUCCCAGACUCAGUGCUCCCUCCUCCUCCCGCGCCCCGCGCUCUGCGCGCUGAGCUGGCGCCGGGCUCCGCUUGCACAGCACCGGGACCGACGGGCACUGCUGGGAGAGCCGCUCUCCCACGUUCCACCUCCCCGAUGCGGAGUCCGUGGGGGAAACCAGGCUUUCCUCCCAGAACCAAGGGAGCGAGCCGAGGGGGCAGCUGCUGUGGAGGCUUCUGAGGAGACAGCCUGGCUUCUUUCCCUACUUCCUGGAGAGGGCAGGAAACCUCAGGUACCUCGUUGACCCCAGCCGAAUAGAGGAACGCUGCUCCCUGGUCAGCAAGCAGCCCCCAACCUGGAUGGAGUGAAAGAUGCGGCCUGAUGACAUUAACCCGAGGACUGGGCUGGUGGUGGCCCUGGUCAGUGUCUUCCUGGUCUUUGGUUUCAUGUUCACCGUCUCUGGGAUGAAAGGGGAGACUUUGGGAAACAUCCCCCUCCUGGCCAUCGGGCCAGCCAUCUGCCUACCAGGCAUCGCAGCCAUUGCCCUGGCCAGGAAAACCGAGGGAUGCACCAAGUGGCCAGAGAACGAGCUGCUGUGGGUCCGCAAAUUGCCCUGCUUCCGGAAACCCAAAGACAAGGAGGUGGUAGAGCUGCUGAGGACCCCUUCAGACCUAGAAUCCGGCAAGGGGAGCUCAGAUGAGCUGGCUAAGAAGGCAGGCCUCAGGGGGAAGCCUCCCCCACAAAGCCAGGGUGAGGUGUCCGUGGCCAGCUCCAUCAACAGCCCCACACCCACGGAGGAAGGAGAAUGCCAGAGCCUCGUCCAGAAUGGGCAUCAGGAGGAGACGUCCAGAUACCUGGACGGCUACUGCCCCUCGGGCAGUUCCCUCGCCUACAGUGCCUUGGACGUCAAGUGCUCAGCAAGGGACAGAUCUGAGUGCCCUGAGCCUGAGGACAGCAUCUUCUUUGUGCCCCAGGACAGUAUCAUCGUUUGCUCCUACAAGCAGAACAGCCCGUAUGACAGAUACUGUUGUUAUAUCAAUCAGAUACAAGGCAGGUGGGACCACGAGACCAUCGUCUAAUCUCUGCCUACAAAGGUGGCUGGAUUGAUAGAAUAUGACUAAGCCCAGCUCCCCGUGGAAGCAAAUUGUUCUGCUUGGAAAGCCUUCACACUGUUAGAAAUUGACCUGAUAAGAAGGCUAUCAAGCAGAAUGCCAUUUGAUCCCCGGUGAAGAAAAAUAUGAAUUAUAUAUAGGAAUGGUGAUAGAGUUCAUCUUGAAGAUCAGAAGUAUUUUGUAUCCUUCAAAGAAUGAUCAUUUUAAGUGAUCAUAUAGUCUUAGUCACUUUCUCCCAAAAGGGGAAUUGAGGACAAAAAUUUGGGCAUAUAUGUUUUGUGUAUUUCAAUUCCAACUCUGCAAUUCUUUCUUAAGUAUAGCAAUUGUUCUGUCUUAAGAAUCAUGCUAUUUUUAAAAGAUCAUAAUUUUCAAGUCAAGUUCAAGAUCAAAAAUAUGUAAUUAUUUUAGUAGGGCUUAAAUAUCAGAAAUGAGAUGCAUGAUCUUGGGCAAAUUUUAUCUUCUUACACCUGAGUUUCUUACUCUGUGAAGGGAGGGGGAACUGAUUUACACUCAAUUAUUUCUGUCAUUCAUUUUCAGUUUAAAUAUUCUAUGGUGUUAUGUCAAAGGCAUUUUAUAUAUUGCCAGGAAAUGAGUUACAGCAAAAUGCAUGCCAAAGUUAUGAAAUUUAUGAUAAUUAUGUGACAUAGAUUGCACAGCUACUACUCAAAAAAGAAUUUUGUAGAUGUAUGAAAGCAGAUUAUUCAACACAAUGCAUUCCUGAGAAUAAAAUGAACAUAAUCAGAGUAAAAUAUUUUUGAGUAGAAAACUUAAAAUGUUGGUAUAACUCAAAGUAAUCUAAUACACAACCUUGCACUAAAUGUGAUUGACAUUUGGAUUUGGGAUGGGGAGAGAUAGUUUCCUAAAAUCACAGUAACUUUUAAUAAUUGUAAUGCAUUUUGAAAACAGAGAAUCAUAUUUUUAUAACGGUGAGAACUAUGCAAUAACUCUUUAGGAAUAAAAACUUCCUUUAAGAUGUUUGCCACCGUUAGAGAUGAGGAGAUAGUGAGACAGAGAGAUGUUCACAGAGACUCAGCAAAUCUUAGACAGUAAUGCUGCAAUUUUCUGAAAGAAGAUGCUUGCAGUGUCAGGUAUGGUUUGGGGGUUGGAAAAGUUACUUUUCUGAUUUCUUGGAACCAUUUAAAACUCCUUUAUAUCAUUCUGUCUCUUUCCAAAUUGAGGGUCAACUACUAGUUUAGAGAUAUAAGGUAUUUUAUCUUGUUUUCAAGUUCUACUUCAGAAGAAAACCUAUUUCAUGUUUCUUCUCCCAUUACCUACUUAAGAUACUUAAGGUAUUUAAGUAUGCAUUUGAGGAAAUAUUUUCCUGUGCUAAAAUAAAGGUUUGCAAAUGUUGGUGUGAGAGGUUUUAACUUUGACCAGUGAGAAUAAAAUGUAUGAUUGUGUGUGUGAAUUUCUCCUAACAUAUUAACCAACUGCUUUCUAUAUGCAACAAGGUAACCUGGUGCCCCAAAUCAAUACUUAUAAGUACUAUUCAGAGUUAAACUUCCAAAGUCAAAAAAAUAUAUACACAAAAAAAAGGGUAAAAGCCACAUUUUUUUAAACAGAGGUAGAAGAGAAAGAGAAAAAAAGUGUCUCAGCCCUUUAGAGGAAAAGACAGAAACUCAUUCCGAUGAGUUAGACAGUUUUAGUAAAUUGUUCUUAUCAAUAUAAUAGACAUGAGGAUUGUUCCUGGUAGCCUUCAAGAGCUCCUAGACAGAUAUAAAUUUAAGUAGACAUUACUUUAUUUUGCUGUUAAUCCAAGUAGACAUUGCAACUUGAUUCUGAAUAGGCAUUUUAUUUUCAAAAUUUUUCUACUGAAUUUCUCUUGCUCUGUAUGCCUACUUAUUGUGCACAUGGGUUGUUUUUCCAAACUGCUUCUUGAUUCUUAAGUGAGAAUUCAGACAAGAUACUCAAACGAGAGCAUAUUAGACAUCUGUUUUAAGAUUUAUUUUCUGUUGCAGUCAUCUUGGCAAACAAAAUCCAGAUACAGUUAAGUUCAGGCUCUCUUCCAAACCCUGCUAAGCAGCUGCUUUGAAAAUGUUUUCAAUACUAUGGAUCUUAAUAUCCACUGAGAUGACAAAUGUAGGAAAGGAAGAUUCAUUCUGUUAAAUGUUUUUUCUCUUUUGCAAUGUCCAAGCUCUACUUAUUUAUUAAUAGCCUCCCUCUGUACCCAUAACAUCAUUUAUUUGGUGAAUUCACUGUUAUUAAUACUAGUAUUUUAUCACAUUAAAGAAAAGGUUUCUGAAAACCCACAACCUCACUAUCCUAAAGCAACUACUGUGUUUCUAUUUUGGUAUAUCAUCUUCCAGGCUUCCUCCACAUGCAAAUGCAGCAUACAUAUUAUAAUAGUGUGUUUUUCUUUUCUCUUUGAAUUAUAUUCCAAGCAUGUUUCCAUGUUUCUAUGUAGUAUUUCUAAUUAUCAAUGAACAAUUGUGUAAUAUGCCAUUUUAGUGAUGUUCCAUAAUUUAUCAUGCCAUUCCUUAUUGCUGGCAAGAUACUAAGUUUUAUGGAUGAUUUUGUAUGUUUUUUUCCUAUUGCUGGUUACACUGCUAUAUUAUUUGUUAUAUGCCAAUAGAGAGGAACUUUACUAUUGAACAGGUAUCUCCUUGUGGAUGAGAGAGAGGAGGCAGAAAUGUGUAAAUGAAUGGAACUCUCCAUAUUGUUGUGUGGGUCUUCCCUUCACUCUUGUGGAUAUAACACCCAGGGUGGGAAACAAAACAAUGCUUCUUCCAAAAGAUCCUCCCAUCAGGACCAGAACUAGUAUGUUUAGGAGUAAGACGGAACAUUUCCCCAGCUGAGAUACCAGUGGUGUGUUUCUCACAAUUAGAUUACAGUGGUGUCAGUCUUCAAGAGCAUCGUGUUCAACAAGCAAAAUGAUAAAUAGAUGUAAACAAUAAUAAUGACUUUGUAAUAUGCCAAAAGCAUUUUCUUAAAGUACCUCAUCAUAUAUUUUAUAAUAGACUGUAUUUCAUAUGUAUAUAUAUUGUCGCCUAUCAGUGACUUACAAAUGAACUGGAAUUUCAGGAAUCUGAUAGACUCUGCCCUUGAGUUUUCUGUGUUUCAGUUUCCUACUGGGAAAAACUAAACUGAGGAUGGAAAUGGGGACAAAUGCUUGGUUUGCCCAAAUAUCUUAAUAAAAGACUAGAUUCCAUUC